AUUGAACGCUGGCGGCAGGCUUAACACAUGCAAGUCGAGCGAGCUGCGGACGGGUUAGUCUUGUCUGGGAAACUGCCUGAUGGAGGGGGAUAACUACUGGAAACGGUAGCUAAUACCUCAUACCAUCAGAUCUGCCCAGAUGGGAUUAGCUAGUAGGGGGGGUAAUGGCUCACCUAGUCGACGAUCCCUAGCUGGUCUCAGAGGAUGACCAGCAACACUGGAACGGAGACGAGGUCCAGACUCCUACGGGAGGCAGCAGGGGGGAAUAUUGCACAAUGGGCGCAAGCCAGAUGCAGCCAUGCCGCGUGUGUGAAGAAGGCCUUCGGGUUGUAAAGCACGUUCAGCGAGGAGGCGUUACUCGCAGAAGAAGCACCGGCUAACUCCGUGCCAGCAGCCGCGGUAAUAC
rnacentral:rRNA from 1 species